rfam:Streptococcus urinalis 2285-97 final_molecule, whole genome shotgun sequence.
GAGAGCCGUAUACAUUGAGAGGUGUACGUACGGUUCGGGGGCGAGUAUUUGGAAACCUGCCGUAGUAAUACGGUAAGGCGCUGGAUACUUAGCCUAC